ensembl:miRNA gga-mir-6635-1 gga-mir-6635-1
CCUCUCUUGAUGUCCGGCUGUGAAGGAUCAGAACAGCGUGCUUGGCUGAAGUGCUGUGCUGUUUGUCUUCGCUGUUGUGUGGCAGAAUGCUUCUUGGGUGCUUGGGAGCA